CCUACGGGAGGCAGCAGUGGGGGAUAUUGCACAAUGGGGGAAACCCUGAUGCAGCGACGCCGCGUGUAGGAAGACGGUCCUCUGGAUUGUAAACUACUGUCCCCAGGGACGAAGAUGACGGUACCUGGGGAGGAAGCUCCGGCUAACUACGUGCCAGCAGCCGCGGUAAUACGUAGGGAGCGAGCGUUGUCCGGAAUUACUGGGGGUAAAGGGAGCGUAGGCGGGGAUGCAAGUUGGGUGUUAAAUCUACCGGCUCAACUGGUAGUCGCACUCAAAACUGCAGCUCUUGAGUGAAGUAGAGGCAGGCGGAAUGCCUAGUGUAGCGGUGAAAUGCGUAGAUAUUAGGAGGAACACCAGUGGCGAAGGCGGCCUGCUGGGGUGUUACUGACGCUGAUGCUCGAAAGUGUGGGGAGCAAACAGGAUUAGAUACCCGGGUAGUC
rnacentral:rRNA from 1 species